UAUAUCUUUGGAGAUUAAACUUCUUUACCCUUUGAAUUCAAGAACUAUUACACUUGAAAACUCAAUUUCCAGCCACUCAUUGAUAUCAAGUGAGUUGAUUAUUUAAUUAAAGUGGAAUACACUUGAUUCUGCCCUACUGCGAAGUGUAUUUGGUGUUCUACUGAUAAAGUCUGUCAAAGUAAAAUCCAUGCAAUUUGAAGGGCUUUACACUUUAUUUAACGAUGUUGCGGUUUAAAAAAAGGUUGAGGUUCUAUUACGGCAUUUGGUGAGCAUGAAGGACGCUCUAAGCAGAUAUUUAUAUCAGGAAAAAUCGAAUAUUGAUAAGAAAAUAUUUAAGAGCCAGCAUUGACCAGGUGCAGAUGAACAUAUAGCUUAGCUUUAAGAACCCGGCGGAAUCAUCAAUCCAAAGUUGCGAAAACGCCAGUUAAAAUGCCGCAUGGUGCGGUUUGGCAGAACCCCGACCAAAUGCAGGUACCGUGGAGGCACCAUAUUUGACGCAGUUAAGAAAAUUUUAAAAAGAAUCAUUAUUUAAAAAAUAAUUCCAAUAUGGAUUCGCUUAAUAUUCUGCAUAACGAGCUUACUACUAUUAUAGAAUGUGUAGAAAUAAUGAAACUUCGAAAUAUAAGUUUAUUUUUUAGUUUUUUAAUCAGUUUUUAUGUAGUACUUGAGGUACCCAACUUGACGCACUAAUUUUACUAUGUUCCUUAUUUGACGCAAAGUUGUUCCUAAUUUGACGCACUUUAAAACUAUGUUAAAACUCAAUCAAUUAAAUGCCUUAUUUUUUUAUUAUAUAAAAACAGUGACAGACAGUGUAAUAGAACUUGGUACGAUAUAAAAUAAAAAGUUAAUUAAUUAUACAAAGAGGCAUUUUUUUUAAUUGUUCAGUUGUUCUGCAAGUUAUAU